rnacentral:sRNA from 1 species
CGCCAUGGGUCUGUGGUGUCCCUUACCCACUGGGGGGGCUCGGCAGCCUGAGGAGCUCCCUCUUCCUGAGGCAGAGCCCUCACUGCUCACUGCCAUGGAGGAGGCAGGAGAUCCCGCCGGACCCCGCUUGGAGGGCUGGGCCUGGAGCAUGCAUGGGUGCGGGGUCAACGCCUCAGGAGACUUGGAGCUUGGGAGCCCCCUGUUCUGGGACACUUGUGGCCGUCCAGCUGCUGCCCUGGGAAUCCACACCUGGAAGGAAGCUCUUCGUGGGCGGUCUUGACUGGAGCACGACCCAAGAGACUCUGCGCAGCUACUUUUCCCAAUAUGGAGAAGUCGUAGAUUGUGUUAUCAUGAAAGAUAAAACCACCAACCAGUCUCGAGGCUUUGGGUUUGUCAAAUUUAAAGACCCAAACUGUGUGGGGACGGUGCUGGCCAGCAGACCGCACACGCUAGAUGGCCGAAACAUCGACCCCAAGCCAUGCACACCCCGGGGGAUGCAGCCGGAGAG